rnacentral:rRNA from 1 species
AUGUUACAGCGAGGAUUGAUCGUACCCGAUGUGAGUCCCUUCUCGUCCCCGGUGUUGCUAGUGAGAAAAAAAGACCAAACGUGGCGCUUCUGUGUGGACUUCCGUCACCUGAAUGCAAUCACUAUCAAAGGCACCUGCUCCUUCCCCAUCAUCGAUGAGCUACUUGACGAAUUGGCCGGAUCAAAAUGGUUCUCGAAACUCGACCUCAGGGCAGGUUACCAUCAAAUCCGAUUGGUGGAGGAAGACAAGGAGAAGACAUCAUUUAGAACUCACAUGGGCCACUUCCAAUUUCGGGUGAUGCCAUAUGGGUUAGCAUUCGCGCCUGGCACGUUUCAAACUGGAGUCAAUAUUGUGUUGGGGCCACUGGUACGACAUGGAGUACUCGUCUUCAUGGACGAUAUUCUAGUGCACACGGCUACCUACCAAGAGCACCCGCAGCUGCUGCGACAAGUACUCCAGCGACUGCGCGACCAUGAUUUGGUGGCCAAAAGAUCUAAAUGCUCAUUCGUGCAGCAACACAUCAACUACUUGGGCCACCAUAUCAGUGACCAGGGAGUGUCAACUCUGACAGAGCACGUUCAGUCAGUGCAAAAAUGGAAACAACCCACAACAGUCAAGCAGCUGAGAGGAUUCCUAGGAUUGGCAGGGUAUUAUCGCAAGUUUGUGCGCAACUUUGGAGUGCUCAGUAGGCCGUUGAACGACUUGCUUAAGAAAAAUGCAGUGUUUGUAUGGACACCCACAACACAGGCAGCCUUCCAAGCACUUAAACAAGCAUUGAUCUCAGCCCCGGUACUGGCAUUACCGGACUUCUCCAAGCAGUUUGUAGUAGAAACAGAUGCGAGCGCAACAGUCAUUGGAGCCGUACUCAUGCAAGGGGGCAUCCAGUGGCGUAUCUCAGUAAAAGUUUGGCUCCACGAAAUUUGGGGCUGUCAGCAUACGAGAAGGAAUGCCUGGCACUUCUCCUGGCAGUGGAUCACUGGCGUCCCUAUUUGCAACACUCUGAAUUCCUCAUUCGCACGGAUUAACGGAGCUUGCUGA